rnacentral:rRNA from 1 species
UACGUAGGGGGCUAGCGUUGUCCGGAAUCACUGGGCGUAAAGGGCGCGUAGGCGGCUUGAUAAGCGUGCGGUGAAAGCCCGGGGCUCAACCCCGGGUCGGCCGUGCGAACUGUCGAGCUGGAGCACUGUAGAGGCAGGUGGAAUUCCGGGUGUAGCGGUGGAAUGCGUAGAGAUCCGGAAGAACACCGGUGGCGAAGGCGGCUCCCUGGGCCCAUACUGACACUGAAGUGCGAAAGCGUGGGGAGCAAACAGG